CAGUCGCCGCGGUAAUACAGAGGGUGCGAGCGUUAAUCGGAUUUACUGGGCGUAAAGCGUGCGUAGGCGGCUAAUUGAGUCGGAUGUGAAAUCCCCGAGCUUAACUUGGGAAUUGCAUUCGAUACUGGUUAGCUAGAGUGUGGGAGAGGAUGGUAGAAUUCCAUGUGUAGCGGUGAAAUGCGUAGAGAUCUGGAGGAAUACCGAUGGCGAAGGCAGCCAUCUGGCCUAACACUGACGCUGAGGUACGAAAGCAUGGGGAGCAAACAGGAUUAGAUACCCCAGUAGUCCCUGUCUCUUAUAC
rnacentral:rRNA from 1 species